GAUGAACGCUGACAGAAUGCUUAACACAUGCAAGUCGACUCGAGUCUUCGGACUUGGGUGGCGCACGGGUGAGUAACGCGUAAAGAACUUGCCUCUUAGACCGGGACAACAUCUGGAAACGGAUGCUAAUACCGGAUAUUAUGGUUUUUUCGCAUGGAGGAAUCAUGAAAGCUGGAUGCGCUAAGAGAGAGCUUUGCGUCCCAUUAACUAGUUGGUGAGGUAACGGCCCACCAAGGCAAUGAUGGGUAGCCGGCCUGAGAGGGUGAACGGCCACAAGGGGACUGAGACACGGCCCUUACUCCUACGGGAGGCAGCAGUGGGGAAUAUUGGACAAUGGACCGCAAGUCUGAUCCAGCAAUUCUGUGUGCACGAUGACUUUUUUCGGAAUGUAAAGUGCUUUCAGUCGGGAAGAAGUCAGUGACGGUACCGACAGAAGAAGCGACUGCUUAAUACGUGCCAGCAGCCGCGGUGAUACGUAUGUCGCAAGCGUUAUCCGGAUUUAUUUGGCGUAAAGCGCGUCUAUGCGGCAAUGAAAGUCUGAUGUGAAAUGCUGAUCUCAACUCCGUAUGGCGCGGAACUGCCGUACUAUAGUACUGGAGAGGUAGGCUGAACUCAUUGUAGCGUGAAUUCUGUAUAUUUUGAGUAUGUCUAUGUGGAGCCUUCUACUGGAUACAUGCUGACUCUGUGUGCGCUAAGCUGCUUUGCAUAUGGGAUAUACACACCGUCAUGGUCAUGGCUAUGUUCUUACUGCAGUGUAGCUCAUCUGUACCUGUGCUCUUAGGGUGGCUCAAAAGUGCCCAGCGCUGUUGCUGUUAAUCAUGGAUUACCUAAUGUAACAGA
rnacentral:rRNA from 1 species